rnacentral:tRNA from 1 species
UGGCUCAGUGGUAAAGAAUCUGCCUGCAAUGCAGGAGACCCGGGUUCGAUCCCUGG